rnacentral:rRNA from 1 species
UACAGAGGGUGCAAACGUUGUUCGGAAUUACUGGGCGUAAAGCGCGUGUAGGCGGCUUGGCAAGUCGGUUGUGAAAGCCCGGGGCCCAACCCCGGAACUGCAUCUGAAACUGCCUGGCUAGAGUCCCGGAGAGGAAGGCAGAAUUCCCGGUGUAGGGGUGAAAUCCGUAGAUAUCGGGAGGAAUACCAGCGGCGAAGGCGGCCUUCUGGACGGUGACUGACGCUGAGGAGCGAAAGCGUGGGGAGCGAACAGG